UUACACAACUUUCCGAAUGAAAUUUGUUCUACCCUGGAUGUCUGUUCUCUGUGAUCCAGGGUAGAACAAAUUUCAUUCGGAAAGUUGUGUA
rnacentral:pre_miRNA from 1 species